UACAGAGGGUGCGAGCGUUAAUCGGAAUUACUGGGCGUAAAGCGUGCGUAGACGGUUAUUUAAGUCGGGUGUGAAAGCCCCGGGCUCAACCUGGGAAUUGCAUUCGAGACUGAAUAGCUAGGGUACGGUAGAGGGAAGCGGAAUUUCCGGUGUAGCGGUGAAAUGCGUAGAUAUCGGGAGGAACACCAGUGGCGAAGGCGACUACCUGGCCUGUUCUGACGCUGAGGCGCGAAAGCUAGGGAGCAACGGG
rnacentral:rRNA from 1 species